GACACGGUCCAGACUCCUACGGGAGGCAGCAGUGGGGAAUAUUGCACAAUGGGCGAAAGCCUGAUGCAGCCAUGCCGCGUGUGUGAAGAAGGCCUUCGGGUUGUAAAGCACUUUCAGUCAGGAGGAAAGGGUGUGAGUUAAUACCUCACAUCUGUGACGUUACUGACAGAAGAAGCACCGGCUAACUCCGUGCCAGCAGCCGCGGUAAUACGGAGGGUGCGAGCGUUAAUCGGAAUUACUGGGCGUAAAGCGUACGCAGGCGGUUUGUUAAGCGAGAUGUGAAAGCCCCGGGCUCAACCUGGGAACUGCAUUUCGAACUGGCAAACUAGAGUGUGAUAGAGGGUGGUAGAAUUUCAGGUGUAGCGGUGAAAUGCGUAGAGAUCUGAAGGAAUACCGAUGGCGAAGGCAGCCACCUGGGUCAACACUGACGCUCAUGUACGAAAGCGUGGGGAGCAAACGGGAUUAGAUACCCCGGUAGUCCACGCCGUAAACGAUGUCUACUAGAAGCUCGGAACCUCGGUUCUGUUUUUCAAAGCUAACGCAUUAAGUAGACCGCCUGGGGAGUACGGCCGCAAGGUUAAAACUCAAAUGAAUUGACGGGGGCCCGCACAAGCGGUGGAGCAUGUGGUUUAAUUCGAUGCAACGCGAAGAACCUUACCUACACUUGACAUACAGAGAACUUACCAGAGAUGGUUUGGUGCCUUCGGGAACUCUGAUACAGGUGCUGCAUGGCUGUCGUCAGCUCGUGUUGUGAGAUGUUGGGUUAAGUCCCGCAACGAGCGCAACCCCUAUCCUUAGUUGCUAGCAGGUAAUGCUGAGAACUCUAAGGAGACUGCCGGUGAUAAACCGGAGGAAGGUGGGGACGACGUCAAGUCAUCAUGGCCCUUACGUGUAGGGCUACACACGUGCUACAAUGGCGCAUACAGAGUGCUGCGAACCUGCGAAGGUAAGCGAAUCACUUAAAGUGCGUCGUAGUCCGGAUUGGAGUCUGCAACUCGACUCCAUGAAGUCGGAAUCGCUAGUAAUCGCGUAUCAGAAUGACGCGGUGAAUACGUUCCCGGGCCUUGUACACACCGCCCGUCACACCAUGGGAGUGGGUUGCUCCAGAAGUAGAUAGUCUAACCCUCGGGAGGACGUUUACCACGGAGUGAUUCAUGACUGGGGUGAAGUCGUAACAAGGUAGCCCUAGGGGAACCUGGGGCUG
rnacentral:rRNA from 1 species